GUCUGCAACUCGACUGCAUGAAGUCGGAAUUGCUAGUAAUCGCAGAUCAGAAUGCUGCGGUGAAUACGUUCCCGGGCCUUGUACACACCGCCCGUCACACCAUGGGAGUCGGUAACACCCGAAGCCGACAGUCUAACCGCAAGGAGGACGUCGUCGAAGGUGGGAUUGAUGACUGGGGUGAAGUCGUAACAAGGUACC
rnacentral:rRNA from 1 species